AGGCGACGAUCCGUAGCUGGUCUGAGAGGAUGAUCAGCCACAUCGGGACUGAGACACGGCCCGAACUCCUACGGGAGGCAGCAGUGGGGAAUAUUGGACAAUGGGCGAAAGCCUGAUCCAGCCAUGCCGCGUGUGUGAAGAAGGCCUUAUGGUUGUAAAGCACUUUAAGCGAGGAGGAGGCUACUGAGACUAAUACUCUUGGAUAGUGGACGUUACUCGCAGAAUAAGCACCGGCUAACUCUGUGCCAGCAGCCGCGGUAAUACAGAGGGUGCGAGCGUUAAUCGGAUUUACUGGGCGUAAAGCGUGCGUAGGCGGCUUUUUAAGUCGGAUGUGAAAUCCCUGAGCUUAACUUAGGAAUUGCAUUCGAUACUGGGAAGCUAGAGUAUGGGAGAGGAUGGUAGAAUUCCAGGUGUAGCGGUGAAAUGCGUAGAGAUCUGGAGGAAUACCGAUGGCGAAGGCAGCUUCCUGGCAUAAUAUUGACACUGAGAUUCGAAAGCGUGGGUAGCAAACAGGAUUAGAUACCCUGGUAGUCCACGCCGUAAAC
rnacentral:rRNA from 1 species